rnacentral:rRNA from 1 species
GCAGUGGGUACGGGCAAACUAAAGUGCGGUAAGGGAGAUUGGAAUUCCUGGUGUAGCGGUGGAAUGCGCAAAUAUCAGGAGGAACACCAAUGGCGAAGGCAGAUCUCUGGGCCGUAACUGACGCUGAGGAGCGAAAGCGUGGGGAGCGAACAGGAUUAGAUACCCUGGUAGUCCACGCCGUAAACGGUGGGAACUAAAUGUGGGGUCCGUUCCACGGAUUCCGUGUCGCAGCUAACGCAUUAAGUUCCCCGCCUGGGGAGUACGGCCGCAAGGCUAAAACUCAAAGGAAUUGACGGGGGCCCGCACAAGCGGCGGAGCAUGCGGAUUAAUUCUAUGCAACGCGAAGAACCUUACCAAGGCUUGACAUAUACAGGAAAAGUGUAUAAAUACACUCCCCGCAAGGUCUCUAUACAGGUGGUGCAUGGUUGUCGUCAGCUCGUGUCGUGAGAUGUUGGGUUAAGUCCCGCAACGAGCGCAACCCUCGUCCUAUGUUGCCAGCACGUAAUGGUGGGAACUCAUGGGAUACUGCCGGGUGUCAACUCGGAGGAAGGUGGGGAUGACGUCAAAUCAUCAUGCCGCUUAUGUCUUGUGCUUCUCGCAUGCUACUAUGGUCGGUACAGAGGGCAGCUAUACCGCAAGGUGGAGCGAAUCCCAUAAAGCCGGUCUCAGUUCUGAUUGAGGUCUGCAACUCGACCGUCAUGAAGAUGGGAGUCGCUAGUAAUUCGUGCAUCAGCAACGGCACGGUUGAUACGGUUCCCGGCCUUUGUACACCA